AGAACGAACGCUGGCGGCAGGCCUCAAACAUGCAAGUCUAGGGGGUGUAGCAAUACAUCACCGGCGGACGGGUGCGUAACACGUGGGAAUAUACCUUUUGGUUCGGAACAACGCAGGGAAACUUGCGCUAAUACCGAAUGUGCCCUUACGGGGAAAGAUUUAUCGCCAAAGGAUUAGCCCGCGUAGGAUUAGCUAGUUGGUGAGGUAAUGGCUCACCAAGGCUCCGAUCCUUAGCUGUUCUGAGAGGAAGAUCAGCCACACUGGGACUGAGACACGGCCCAGACUCCUACGGGAGGCAGCAGUUGGGAAUCUUGGACAAUGGGGAAACCCUGAUCCAGCCAUGCCGCGUGAGUGAUGAAGGCCUUCGGGUUGUAAACUCUUUCGACGGGGACGAUAAUGACGGUACCCGUAGAAGAAGCUCCGGCUAACUUCGUGCCAGCAGCCGC
rnacentral:rRNA from 1 species